CCUCUCUCGGGGUCGCACCUGGAGAGUUUCUGGUACUCAACCAGUCUCGACUACGGGAGGGAGAGUCAAGCAGAGGCCUACUCGUUCCAUUCCUAGUUCGAGCAGUGGCUAGCGAGCGGAAGGCCAUCUGCUACAAGU